rnacentral:rRNA from 1 species
UACGUAGGGGGCAAGCGUUGUCCGGAUUUAUUGGGCGUAAAGAGCGUGUAGGCGGCUAGAUAGGUCCGUUGUGAAAACUCGAGGCUCAACCUCGAGACGUCGAUGGAAACCAUCUGGCUAGAGUCCGGAAGAGGAGAGUGGAAUUCCUGGUGUAGCGGUGAAAUGCGCAGAUAUCAGGAGGAACACCAAUGGCGAAGGCAGCUCACUGGGACGGUAUUGACGCUGAGACGCGAAAGCGUGGGGAGCAAACAGG